UUCUAAGGCCACCCCACCCUGAACAUGUCUGAUCUCUUCUGAUCUCAGGAGCUAAGCAGAGUCUCCUGGUUGGUACUUUGAUGAGCGAUUAUAAGAUCAAAACCAAAAAAU
rnacentral:rRNA from 10 species